rnacentral:rRNA from 1 species
UACGUAGGGGGCUAGCGUUGUCCGGAAUCAUUGGGCGUAAAGAGCGUGUAGGCGGCCCGAUUAGUCCGCUGUGAAAGUCCAGGGCUCAACCCUGGAAUGCCGGUGGAUACUGUCGGGCUUGAGUCCGGAAGGGGCGAGUGGAAUUCCUGGUGUAGCGGUGAAAUGCGCAGAUAUCAGGAGGAACACCAAUGGCGAAGGCAGCUCGCUGGGACGUGGACUGACGCUGAGACGCGAAAGCGUGGGGAGCAAACAGG